ACCCCCCCCCCCCCCCCCCGCUCACCCGCCACCGCGAGAAAACUAUUAGAUGCGACACUCGGAGGACGGUGCAGCUCGAGACGUUGUGUCUCGUUGCUGUUCUUUGCUGUCACAGCUCAGAGGACGUUUUCUGAGCUGCUCUCUGACGGGCUGCACGGCAGCAGAGGGACGAGCGCUCCGCAAUCCCACCACGGCCCACAGAGUCCCCACGUUUUUCAAAGACAACGUGAGUGGGUCCGAAAUGUUCCCCUGGCAGCUGUCAAAUGCUCAGAAUGCAGAACCUUUCAUUUUCCAACUGCUACAGAAGAACCAGACAUGUGAUCUGAUCUGUGCGUCCCUCUGGUUCCCCUGAUGAGUGGUGCGUUCCUCUGGUUCCCCUGAGGUGUGAGUGCAUUCCUCUGGUUCCGCUGACCUGUGGUGCGUUCCUCUGGUUCCCCUGAGAUGUGAGUGCGUUCCUCUGGUUCCCCUGACCUGUGGGGCGUUCCUCUGGUUCCCCUGAUGAGUGGUGCGUUCC
ensembl:lncRNA